UUUGAUCAGGAGAGAAGGGAGGAGGAGAGAAAAGGUGCAUGAAAUCAAUAGUGAGAAAGGAUGAGUGCGUGAUGGCGAAGGGUAGAAGGCCAAGAAUUCCUUUGUCAUUUACGAACGAUGAUGCAUUACAAAGAAUGCCAUACUAUAGGUGAAGAAGAGAAUCCACACCACAAGCUUCAUCUAUUCGAGACCUAGGUAAGGGUAGUUUAUACCCUAAAUUCCUAGAUUUAAGCUAAUAUAUUUGAUUUAGAUUCAUUAUUUGUUAAAGAAUUGUAAUAAGGAUUGAUUGUUGUGAAUACGGUUAGUGGAUCAUGUGAUGACAGAGCAAAGCUUGAAUUGGCUAAUUGUUAUGUGAUGAAGAUGGCAGCUGGAAUUGAAUGUGAAGUGCAAUUAAUGUUUUCAGAGAUUGAAGAAGAUGGAAAGGGGGCUUCAUGUGGGUCAGGUUGAUUAUACCUAUGAGGCCCAGGCUUGAUUUACCCUAACUUGGGCCAGAGCCCAUAAGGAUUCGUAGAACGGGCUUAGUAGUUAAGUUGGAAGAGUAAAA